rnacentral:rRNA from 1 species
UAGGCGUAAAUGAUGCGAGUUAAGUGUGGGGGCAUCUACGAGAUGGCCCUGUGCUGUAGGGUAGCCGUUAAACUCGCUGCCUGGGGAGUACGGUCGCAAGGCUGAAACUUAAAGGAAUUGGCGGGGGAGCACCGCAACGGGAGGAGCGUGCGGUUCAAUUGGAUUCAACGCCGGACAACUCACCAGGAGCGACGGUUACAUGAAGGCCAGGCUGAUGACCUUGCCUGAUUUUCCGAGAGGUGGUGCAUGGCGUAGUCGUGU